rnacentral:lncRNA from 1 species
AAUGCCCAACCUAGAAGCCCUAGGAAUUUUCCAUGCUAGAUGAAGUCACCCACACCCUAGAACAUGCCCUAACUCUCUUUCUCUCUUAGUAAAAUCUGAUGGCAUGCCCAAAAGGAAGGCCCUUUAAAAGAUGGUGUCCAAAGAGGCUAGGAUGAGAACAACUUUUCAUUCGAAUAAAGAUCAAGUUUCAAAAUUGAAUUCAAAAUGAGUUUGAAUUCAAAACUGAAACCAACUUGAUCCUCAUUAAGAGGGGAUAAGGAAGUGGGUGACAACAUUCUUUUGGUAUUCAAAAUCC